rnacentral:lncRNA from 10 species
CUCUUGCCCUCCAGCCUUUGGUGCCAGUGUGGACUGUACUACAGGGAGAGGGUGAGAUCAAACCCCUCUCCGCUCAGCUACCUGCCCCAGAGCUGGCCCUUGGCAUGCUUAAUGAAAUCAGCUUCUCGAUAGAUUGACAAUGCCCUGUCAAUUAUAAUCAUUUAUCUUGGCAAGCAGAGCAUUGGAACACUUAAAAGAGCAGGGGUUCAGCAGGCCCAGGAAAACCAGAAUAAAAUUAUACUGCAUGGUAAUCAGAGUGAGAGUAUAUUGCUCACAUAAAAUUUUACUUUAACUGUCAGAAGGACUGAUAUGAUCUUACUUCUAAUUUUCUGCCCAUAGGGUGUUCACAGUUCCAUUUGGGUCACUUUCUGCUAACUGUGAUGUAAUAGGGGAUUUGCAUACGGUCUAUGUAAGAGGAGGAGGGCAAUUACCCAGUGCACAGGGAAGUUGGGGUGUUUUCUCAUUGCUGUUUUUAGGAAACACCAGGAUGGGUGUGCAAUGGCAAUGACAGAGGUGGGAAUACAGGAUUGGAGGUGAGUCCUUGUUCUCCACUUCCUGACUGUGUUAGCAAGGGCAAAGCAUGCCACUUUGCAGUGUCUCACUGUCUUUCACAACAGAGGAAACAGAGAUUGUGUAUUAUUAUAAAUGCUGAUUUUUGCUGGGCAUAGGUCCACCUGGAGGAUAUGCCUGUCCCCUUCUUGGAUCAACUUUGGGUGAAGCAGCAACAGCAAGCCCAGACCCAUGAGAGAGGCAGCGGGGGGAAGCUGCAUCUUGCUUCUCUGCUCAUGAUCUAGAUGGAAGGGCCAGGUCCCGCCAGGCUGCAGAGCAAAGAGCAGUGAGUUGAAGGGUCUCCUGGCCUCACAGUCCCACAGGCCCUGCAUGGCACCUGUCUGCAAAGCCUCCAGGAGAAUCUGAGCCCCCUGAGAUUGGGGCACUGCUGGGAGAGGGCUGGGGGACUCAGCACAAGGGAGGCCUUGUGAAUGGAGAGCACAGAGGAAGGCAGCCGUCAUCCUCAGAUCCCCGGCUAUGAAAACAAGGACAGAGGGGCAUGAGGGUCAGCCCUCCAAGGCCAGUGGGCACAAGGGACCACUGUGGUCAGAAUAAUAUGCACUUCCCUCCCUCCGGGCUCAGACCUUCCCUGGAGAGGAGAGGGACAAACCCUGAAGGGACUGAGUGUUUCCCCGUUUGACAUCAGAAGGCACCAAGUUAUCCUGAGCAGAUGAUUUUCUACCCUCAGCAGAAAGGAAGCCUGAGAGCUCACUUUGCACCCUGGGACUUGGCCUGGGAACACGUGCAGACCAGCAAGGUCAUGCUUCUAUUUCCUCUGCUGCAACCUGUUGGGGACAUUCUGGUAAAUGAAGUACAAAUAAAACAUAUCUGCAGCCAACCAGGAAAAGCACUCCCUUUCUGAAUGGCCUUUUCAACAGGCAUAGACUGAGCUGCCAGUACCUGGCUUUCAGUAGGGCACAACCUGCUUAGAAGCCCCAGAAUUUGGCAAUUUGUCUAUUGUGAGGGAGAGAGAGGUGUGUAUGUUCCUUGCAGUCUGGGGGCUGGGGAGGGGUGGGGGUAGGCUGUAUGACAGCAGAAACUGGGAAUGGUGGUUGUGCUGGACUUUCGAGGGGGACCUACCAAGAACGCACGUUAUAUUAACAUCUGGGGGGGGGACCUACCAAGAACACACUCCGUGACAGGCCUCGCCUAGGACCCUCCACGAUACUGUCUCCUCCUUACCAUUGCUGUGCAAUGUGGGGGAGGGGGAUUCUCUGUACUUUACACCUGGGGAAACUGAGGCUUGAGAGGGCAGAGAGAGACUCUUUUCACUCCUCCAGGAAUGCCUUUCUUCCUUCUCCUCCUGCCGACCCUGGCCCCUGUGCCCCAGCCCUCAGCCCCUCCAUUUCCAGGGCAGUGGGCCAAUUUAUUGCAGAACAUAGCUCUGGGCAGCUGUGGGCAGCUGUUUUGGAAAAGGGCUUUAUGAGGCCAGAACGUUGGCCUCUGCAGCCUUACUAAAUUUCUUCACUUGUGCUUC